rnacentral:tRNA from 1 species
AGUUUGGUUAGAACGCUGGCCUGUCACGCCAGAGGUCGCGAGUUCAAGUCUCGUCGGCCCCG